GUGGGGAAUAUUGGACAAUGGGCGAAAGCCUGAUCCAGCCAUGCCGCGUGUGUGAAGAAGGUCUUCGGAUUGUAAAGCACUUUAAGUUGGGAGGAAGGGCAGUAAGUUAAUACCUUGCUGUUUUGACGUUACCGACAGAAUAAGCACCGGCUAACUUCGUGCCAGCAGCCGCGGUAAUACGAAGGGUGCAAGCGUUAAUCGGAAUUACUGGGCGUAAAGCGCGCGUAGGUGGUUUUGUAAGUUGGAGGUGAAAUCCCCGGGCUCAACCUGGGAACUGCCUCCAAAACUGCAUGACUAGAGUACGGUAGAGGGUAGUGGAAUUUCCUGUGUAGCGGUGAAAUGCGUAGAUAUAGGAAGGAACACCAGUGGCGAAGGCGACUACCUGGACUGAUACUGACACUGAGGUGCGAAAGCGUGGCGAGCAAACAGGAUUAGAUACCCUUGUAGUCC
rnacentral:rRNA from 1 species